GCAGUACCUCGCAGGCUCUUUUAGAUGUUCCGGCAUACGGUGGGAGACGGUCCGGAAUGUUCAGGAUUCUGGAGCUCUGCCUUCAGAGAUUUCUACAUUUUUCCAAGAGAGACCAGCAAAAUAUGAAGAAGUCCUGUAGAGAGACACAGCGAGAGAGGGAACA